AGCGAACGCUGGCGGCAGGCUUAACACAUGCAAGUCGAGCGGGCAUCCUUGUGGUGUCAGCGGCAGACGGGUGAGUAACGCGUGGGAACGCGCCCUUCGGUUCGGAAUAACUCAGGGAAACUUGAGCUAAUACCGGAUACGCCCUUUUGGGGAAAGGUUUACUGCCGAAGGAUCGGCCCGCGUCUGAUUAGCCAGUUGGUGAGGUUAUGGCUCACCGAGGCGACGAUCAGUAGCUGGUCUGAGAGGAUGAUCAGCCACACUGGGACUGAGACACGGCCCAGACUCCUACGGGAGGCAGCAGUGGGGAAUAUUGGACAAUGGGGGCAACCCUGAUCCAGCCAUGCCGCGUGAGUGAGGACGGCCUUAGGGUUGUAAAGCUCUUUUCUCCGGGACGAUAAAGACGGUACCGGAGGAAUAAGCCCCGGCUAACUUCGUG
rnacentral:rRNA from 1 species